AGGAGUAGCUUCAGGACAAGUCUUUGAAUGUCCUAGAGUGGCCCAGCCAGAGCCCGGACUUGGACCCGAUCGAACAUCUCUGGAAAGACUUGAAGUUAGCUGUGCAGCGACCCUCCCCAUCCAACCUGACAGAGCUUGAGAGGAUCUGCAGAAGAAGAAUGAGAAGAAUGGGAUAAACUCUCCAAAUACAGGUGUGCCAAGCUUGUAUCGUCAUACCCAAGAAGACUCAAGGCGGUCAUCGCUGCCCAAUAUGCAUCUGAGUAAAGGGUCUGAAUACUUAUUUAUGUUUUUUUUAUAUAUAAAUAUAUAUAUUAUAUUAUCUAUAUAUAUAUAUAUAUAUAUUAAAUUUAGCAAACAUUUCUUAAAAACAUGUUUUGUUGUAUUAUGGGGUAUUGUGUGUAGAUUGAUGAGGGGGGAAAAAAACUAUUUAAUACAUGUUAGAAUAAUGCUGUAACCUAACACAAUGUGGAAAAUGUCAAGGGGUCUGAAUACUUUCCGAAGGCAUGUGUGUUGUAUAUUAUCAACCAUUCCCUUCUUACUAUAUGUGUGUUUUGUUUACAGAUGUGCUGAUGUUUUUGGUAAGCAUUUGUGUGUGUGUUGGGGGUGUGUGUUUGUGUGUGUGUGUGUGUGUGUGUGUGUGGGUUGUGUGUGUGUGUGCGUGUGUGCAUGCGUGUGUGCGUGUGGUUUGUGUGGAAAUAUUCUUAUUAAAAAGAGGGAUGUUUUUACCUUUCCUUCUCUGUGUGAUGCAGAUAGAUGGCCAAAAGCAACUACACCGGUUAAGUGUAUGUGCGUGUGCUUGUGUCCAUGCGUACGUAUGCAUGUGUGUGUGCCUUCUGUACAUAUGUGUGGGAAAUAUGCUUAUUUACAAUAACUAGUCGUUUUAGCCCAUUGUUCUUCAUCUCUCUCUUUUCCUCUCUAGUUGAUGCAGUGAGAUGCCAAAAAGCAACUACACUUGAUACAAAAACUCCAACAAUAUAUACAACCACAUUACCCACCAUAAAUUACAAAACAUCGUCGAUCCCGCCCAAAACGUCAUCAUCAACAACACCACCACCAUCAUCAUUAACAUCGUCAACAAUAUCAAACAGCAACAUGGAGUCACAAGAGCAGCGAUUACAAAGGAAGGUCAUAUCAGUCAGUACAUUGUUAGCUAUCUCUCUGAUAGCUAAUAUCCUCCUUUUGGGUGUUGUCAUCUUGCGGACCCGGGGGAGACGCCAGCAUGAGGGCGUGUCUCUUGCCAUGCCUGAACUGACAGUAUUGAACGCAGUAGAGGUAAAUCAUCUGAUGCAGAACGACAACGGAGAUGCUCUGCAGCACUGA
rnacentral:lncRNA from 1 species